GUCCGAGUAGCCAAGUGGUAAGGGCGUUGGUCUGCAAAACUAAUCAUCGUGGGUUCAAAUCCCACCUCGGACU
rnacentral:tRNA from 1 species